rnacentral:rRNA from 1 species
UGGUGGGUAGUUUGACUGGGGCGGUCUCCUCCCAAAGAGUAACGGAGGAGCACGAAGGUGGGCUAAUCACGGUCGGACAUCGUGAGGUUAGUGCAAUGGCAUAAGCCCGCUUAACUGCGAGAAUGAUGGUUCGAGCAGGUGCGAAAGCAGGUCAUAGUGAUCCGGUGGUUCUGUAUGGAAGGGCCAUCGCUCAACGGAUAAAAGGUACUCCGGGGAUAACAGGCUGAUACCGCCCAAGAGUUCAUAUCGACGGCGGUGUUUGGCACCUCGAUGUCGGCUCAUCACAUCCUGGGGCUGAAGUCGGUCCCAAGGGUAUGGCUGUUCGCCAUUUAAAGUGGUACGCGAGCUGGGUUUAGAACGUCGUGAGACAGUUCGGUCCCUAUCUGCCGUGGGCGUUGGAUGAUUGAGAGGGGCUGCUCCUAGUACGAGAGGACCGGAGUGGACGAACCUCUGGUGUUCGGGUUGUGUCGCCAGACGCAUUGCCCGGUAGCUAAGUUCGGAAUCGAUAACCGCUGAAAGCAUCUAAGCGGGAAGCGAGCCUCAAGAUGAGUCAUCCCUGAUAC